rnacentral:rRNA from 1 species
GUGCAGCAGUCGAGAAAACUUCACAAUGUGCGAAAGCACGAUGAGGGAAUCCCAAGUGCUUGCACGUAAGUGUAAGCUGUUUCUCUGUCUAAAACGCAGAGAGAGUAAGGGCUGGGUAAGACGGGUGCCAGCCGCCGCGGUAAUACCUGCAGCUCGAGUGGUGACCGUUAUUAUUGGGCCUAAAACGUCCGUAGCCGGUUUAAUAAAUGCCUGGGUAAAUCGGACCGCUUAACGGUUCGAAUUCCGGGUAGACUGUUAAACUUGAGACCGGGAGAAGUUAGAGGUACUCCUGGGGUAGAGGUGAAAUUCUGUAAUCCUAGGGGGACCACCAGUGGCGAAGGCGUCUAACUAGAACGGGUCUGACGGUGAGGGACGAAGCCCUGGGGCGCAAACGGGGAUUAGAUACCCGGAUAGU